UACGGGGGGGGUAAGCGUUGUUCGGAAUUACUGGGCGUAAAGGGCUCGUAGGCGGCCAACUAAGUCAUACGUGAAAUCCCUCAGCUUAACUGGGGAACUGCGUGUGAUACUGGAUGGCUUGGAUUGGGAGAGGGAUGCGGAAUUCCAGGUGUAGCGGUGAAAUGCGUAGAUAUCUGGAGGAACACCGGUGGCGAAGGCGGCAUCCUGGACCAUGACUGACGCUGAGGAGCGAAAGCCAGGGAG
rnacentral:rRNA from 1 species